AUUGAACGCUGGCGGCAUGCCUUACACAUGCAAGUCGAACGGCAGCACGGGAGCAAUCCUGGUGGCGAGUGGCGAACGGGUGAGUAAUAUAUCGGAACGUGCCCAGUCUGGGGGAUAACGUAGCGAAAGCUACGCUAAUACCGCAUACGAUCUAUGGAUGAAAGCGGGGGAUCGCAAGACCUCGCGCGAUUGGAGCGGCCGAUAUCAGAUUAGGUAGUUGGUGAGGUAAAGGCUCGCCAAGCCGACGAUCUGUAGCUGGUCUGAGAGGACGACCAGCCACACUGGGACUGAGACACGGCCCAGACUCCUACGGGAGGCAGCAGUGGGGAAUUUUGGACAAUGGCGCAAGCCUGAUCCAGCAAUGCCGCGUGCAGGAUGAAGGCC
rnacentral:rRNA from 1 species